ensembl:lncRNA
UGAACGAACGAUAAUGUAACCAAACAUGUUAAGAACAUAUAUAUAUAUAUGCAGAAAAAAAAAUAGAUACACAUACGUAUAUACAUCAGAUGCUUGACACUCAUACAAAAAUACCUAAAAAAAAAGAAAACACUUACACCGUUUUGACAUUUUAGAUUAUGUUAUACGUUUCAACAACUUUUAUGAAACAAUCCUGAUAAAAACCUUUCUUUUGUUUCCAUGUAUAUAUUUCAUGCUUGUACGUUGAACGUUAUCCCUUUUAUACAUAGAAACACGUCUGCUACAAUGCAGUAGGUUCUUAUCUAACGCGCAAAAAAAAAAAAAAAAAAAAAAAAAAAAAAAAAAAAAAAAAAAAAAAACAUACAUAAAUACAUAAAUACAUACAUACAUACAUACAUACACAAAACCGACAUAUAUAUGUAUAUUUGUUUUUUUUUUUCAUUGUAUGAUGAACAUAAAUAAAAACAAGAGCAGUCGAAGUCUAUUUCUUUUUUGCAAACGACAUAUUAAAAAAAUAAAAAUAAAUGGAGUAAAAGAAUAUGAAGAGGUAUUAAAAAAAAUAUCAAAUCACGAGAAGUUAGUAAGAAUCGACAUAAAUGGAAAACCUAAGAAAACAACAAAAUAUUUUUUUCAUAAAAAUAAAUACAUAUAUGUUAAAAAUAAAAAUGAUAUACAAUUAUUUGAUGAACAAACAGAAAACAAACAAAAUGGUAAAUCGGUUAUUAAGGCUGGUCCGAACGUAGGUGUAGUAGUAACAAGGACAGACAUAAGUGGAGAUGUAGUCGAGAAAAACGCACCUACAAUCGUAACAAACAAAAUCCCUGUAAAGUAUAAUGUUAUAAAUGCAAAACCAAAUUUAAAAAAAGAGAGGAAACGAAUCCAUUCACUUAAAAAAAUAAAACAAAUAUACGAUUUGUCAUCUGAUGCAGAGCUUAUAUAUAUAAAAUUCAUUGAAAAAAUAAAAAUAAAAAACAUGUUUUCACUUAUAAACAAUAUAAAAAAAAAUAUAUACAUAGAUAAAGAUAAAACACAAAUAAUAUUAAAUUGUAUUUAUAAAUAUUUAAGUUAUAAUUGUUUUUCUAUGUCUAAAAAUGAAUUUUUUUUUUUUGUUUACAUUUUUCCACAAGACAUAAAAUAUUUUAAUAAAGUAAUAGCAUAUAUAACUAAUUUAUUAAAAAUGAAUAGUAUAACUGUAAAAGAGUGUAUAACAUUAAUAAUAGAAACAAAUUUAUUACAUGUUAAUAUAUACAUAAAAAAUGAAUAUAUUAAUUUUUUAUAUGAACAUGUUCAUAAAAUAAAAAUGGAUGACAUUUUAAAUUUAUUUUCAAAAGGAAGCUAUAUAUUUGCUAUUCUACCUACUAAUGGUUACUCUCCAAACGAUAAAGAAUUAUUAAUUAGAAAUGUUAUUUGUGAAAACAUAAAAAAAAAACAUAUAAAUUUGAAUGACGAAUUAAAACAUAAUUAUAUAAAUUUUCUUUCAUAUCAUUCAAAAUAUAGUAAUUUUUAUUUAAACUAUUUUUUAAGUAACUUUAAUAUAUUAUUAUAUGAACAAAUCAUUUUGAAAAAUAUAAAAUCCAUAUUACUAAACCAUCAACAUUUUUUUUAUAAUGUAAAAAAACUAACAUAUAAUAAUCAUGUCAUUAAUCAUCUUAAUAAGGUAAUACUCCAAAACAAUAAUAAAUUAUUUAAUAAACAAAAACAAAAUGUAAAAAUAAAAGUUUUUUCAUCUUACAUACGUCCUACCGACGAGGUUAGUGAUGAACAAAUGAAAACACACCAUUGUCAUGACAUCCCAAACAACCAAAACAUAAGCACAAUUUUGUAUAACGCGAUGAUAUACAAUGGUAGUAAUAUUAGCGACGUUGGUAUUCAAAUCGGGAACACAAAUUGUAUUGGUACAUGUACAGUCGAAACAAACUCUGCCGGAACAACUCCGGUAGGAACAACUCCGACCAGAACAACUCCGGUAGGAACAACUCCGACCAGAACAAACUCUAACCAAUUUAAUAAAAAAAAAAAUUAUGAUAAAGACAUACAAACUACAUAUACAAAUAAUUCGUUUAACACUGUAAUGAAUGAAUACUCAGAAAAUUCUAUAAACAGACAAAACGAAGAAUGUAGUAUAUUUAUACUUAGAAAAAACGCAUUUAAUUUUACGUACCCAAUAAAUAAAAUAAGACACGAAAACUACGACAUGUAUAAAGUAAGAUAUAAAAUAUUAACAAAAAUAACAGAUAAAAAUGUAAAAAUGUUUCUUAAGUUUUUAAAAACAAGUUAUAAUUUGAAUACUUUACAUAUCGAUAAUAUUUUUUCGAAGAAGACUGUUUAUCAAGUAAUAUCAUCCAUUAAAAAGGCUGUCCUUACUAAAGAAGACAUGGACGGAUGCUAUUUGACACGACAUGACUCAACUCGAGAUGGAUCGACUCCGAAUGACUUGGCACGGCACAACCCAACCACACAGGAACAACUAUUUAUUAACUUUGUCGACUAUUGGAAUAAUAUAAAAGAAGAAAAGAAACAAAAAACAGAAAAUAAUCCCAAUUUGAUCUGUUUAAUAGGUAAAAAUACUGCUAAUGUAAAAUUAACAACAAACGAUUCUUUCGCUACUGAUUUGGCAAUUCUAGAUAAAAGUAAAAUAGAUAUACAAGAACUAAAUUACAUUCAUAAUUUUUAUUUACAACAUGAUUUGCAGAAUAAUAAAACUUUUUUAAACAUAAUUAACAAAAUUUAUUUUAAUCAAAAAAUGGAUGAAAAAAUUAUGAACAAGUCAGGUAUAAAUUGCAUUUCCAAAUUUUUAUUUUUUUUUUGUAAAUAUAUUCAAUUAUAUAAUAAAAAUAACUAUUCAUUAAUACAAACAGAGAAAUAUAAACAUAUACAACAUCAAUUUGAAAACACUUUUUAUGAAUUAUUUAUUUAUAUUAAUAAAUCAUUAUAUACUAUAAAUAUAUCUAACUUUUUUUAUAUUUUUAUUUCCAUAUGGCAAUUUGCUAAUAAUUCAAAUAUUUACCUUUUAAAUAAUACAUCAUUUCUAAAAAAUAAAAACAAAUAUUGCAAUAACAAGAAAUUGUAUAACCUAUUAUAUAUUAUAUACACAGUUAGACUAUACCGAUAUAAUCAUGUAUGUAAUAUAUUAAACGAUGCAGACCUGGCUGAAUAUAUAAGCGAUGAGUUGCUUUGUCAUACCCACUCGAAUACAACACACUCCAAUGCUAAUACUAUAGAUCAUAAAAAAAAUAUACCAUAUUUUAAUUUAGAUAAAACACGUGAACACAUUUUAGUUGAGUUUGCGCCAAGCGAUGUAUAUAUGCAGGGGCUUACAAAUGAAUACCUGCACGUACCAAACUAUAAACACUCUCAUGGACUUACAAAAAAACGUGUGACUCUAUCAAGUUUUAAUUUUCUCAGUAUGUUUUUAAAUAAUUAUCUAGACUGUACAAAAUUUAACACAACUAAUUUUUUAAUAAUAUUAUUCUAUGCAAACAAACUAUUCCCUCUAUAUCAAAAAAAAAAAAAUCACUUAGAAUCCAGAUUAUAUGAAAAUCACAAAUGGUUUAUCAAUAAAUUUUUUACCCUUAAUCAUUGUCAUAAUUAUGUUAAAAAAAAUAGACUUUUAAAUCAACUUACAUGUGUCCAUCAACGCAGAAAGAUUUAUGGCUGCUCAAACAACAGUGACAUACGCUUUUGUAAAAAAAAAAUAAAAAAUAAAAAAAAAGGCGUAAACAAAAAUAUCAAACAGACGACUGUCACACUGGGAACUGUCAAACCAAGUCAUACCAAAACAGACGA